rnacentral:rRNA from 1 species
UACGUAGGGGGCUAGCGUUGUCCGGAAUCAUUGGGCGUAAAGCGCGCGUAGGCGGCCUGGUAAGUCCGCUGUGAAAGUCAAAGGCUCAACCUUUGAAUGUCAGCGGAUACUGCCAGGCUAGAGUCCGGAAGAGGCGAGUGGAAUUCCUGGUGUAGCGGUGGAAUGCGCAGAUAUCAGGAGGAACACCGAUGGCGAAGGCAGAUCUCUGGGCCGUAACUGACGCUGAGGAGCGAAAGCGUGGGGAGCGAACAGG